rnacentral:lncRNA from 1 species
AUGUGUUUAUCACUUCUGAUGACAGUCGAUCUGAAUUUGCUAGAAUUUGAUCGACCUCGUUUGAAACGGCUUGGGAUGCUAAAAUCUCACUAUCUGAAGCUAAUUCAUCUACUUCACUCAGUCCGCUUACAUCAAACCAGUCAGUUAACACCAAAUUAUCGGCCUCCUCCUCUGAGGGAUUUUGGCUGGCUAAAAUUCUAUCUAAUAAUUCAUCAUCUACGUUUAAUUCAUCAUCUACUUCAAACAAAUCUGAAAGGUCAUCAAACCAAUUUUCACUCAUGAUACAAAAUACAUUAAAAACCUACUAAAAAUGAAGAAAAAAAUCUGCGUCCUCCUUUACAGAGCCAGAACUUGUUGCACCACAUCCACCAGGCCGGAGUUCACUUGUAGGAGCAGGUAGCCCAUUUUCAUCCUGUUUAAUCGCUGAAGUGGCGUAAAUCUGCCCCGCUUCUUCUUCUUCAAUCGUUUUUCUGAUGAAAAAAUAAAUAAAAAUAAAUAAAAUGAACGAGCUUUUAAAUAAAUUAUAUAUAUAUAAAUUUAACUUACUCUGUACAGGUGCAGGAGGUGGGGCGUUCUCUUCCUCUUCAUCUGAAAGGAUAAAAAGCAUCAUAUUUUUUACUUCAAAAUUUAAUAUACGCUGCGGAGCGGUUUUGUGAAACAGCUUACCGGCUGGCUGCUCAGGAACACGUUCAGCGGUUUCAGAGUCGCUGUCGGAUUGAUCUGAAAGAAUAAAAACAAGGAAAAAUAUGAACGAAUCAUCUUUGAAGUAAAUAACCACCUUUUUAUAUAUAUCUUACCCUGUGCAGGAGAAGGGGGAGGAGGAGGAGGAGGUGUGGGCAGAGAUAUUGAAGCGGCUGUCGGAUGUUGUUCUGAAAGGAUAAAAACAACGGUAAAUGUGAACGAGUCAUCUUUGACUUAUUAAUCAGUUGUUUUUUAUCGUUACCAUCCGUCUGCGCAGUAGAAGGGGGUGGAGGUGGUGGGGGCUGAGAUAUUGGGGGUGCGUAGGCCGUCGGCCGUUGCUCUGGAGAAUAAAAACGAUAAAUAUGAACGACACAUCUUUGAUUAAUUAAUCACUAUUUUUACCAGCUUCGAGGAUCGUCUGUGGUGUGAUGGUCCUGUAACGAACAGCUUUCGCGUUCGCUUGUGAUCUGACGGUCUGGCUGGGCUGAUUCGAAUGUAAGACGGUUCGGCUGGUGGAUGGAGGCAUGGUUGGGUAAAAGUUAUCACUUCCGGGGUAAGGUUGAACCCCCUCCUUUUCUGUAAAAUGAGAUAUUUCUCAGCUGAAGAAAAGAACGUUACGUAUAUAUUUAUAAAAUCCACUCACUCAGAUUGUCGACCGCACGGUUAAUUUUAGACAAAUCAUCCAGGUGAAAAGGUACCGGUGUUUUACAAGUUAAUUCCUCUAUAGGAAUUUCUUCCCACUCGACGUCCGAUAUGACAAUAGCGUCUGAAAAUAAAGAUGUUAAACCAGAAAGAGAAAAAAAAGAUUUGCGUCUUAAGUUAAAAACUUACCCGUCAUCUUAGCUUGAUACACCUCAAAUCACGACUCCGAAAAUGCGCUUUACAUUUUAUACCGCUGUUUAAAAAAAUCUUGAAUAGAAAACGGUUGCGAUUGGUCGAAAAAAAAAUGUUUAUAAACAAUACA